rnacentral:rRNA from 1 species
AUUGAACGCUGGCGGCAGGCCUAACACAUGCAAGUCGAGCGGAUGAAGGGAGCUUGCUCCUGGAUUCAGCGGCGGACGGGUGAGUAAUGCCUAGGAAUCUGCCUGGUAGUGGGGGAUAACGUCCGGAAACGGGCGCUAAUACCGCAUACGUCCUGAGGGAGAAAGUGGGGGAUCUUCGGACCUCACGCUAUCAGAUGAGCCUAGGUCGGAUUAGCUAGUUGGUGGGGUAAAGGCCUACCAAGGCGACGAUCCGUAACUGGUCUGAGAGGAUGAUCAGUCACACUGGAACUGAGACACGGUCCAGACUCCUACGGGAGGCAGCAGUGGGGAAUUUUGGACAAUGGGCGAAAGCCUGAUCCAGCCACGCCGCGUGUGUGAAGAAGGUCUUCGGAUUGUAAAGCACUUUAAGUUGGGAGGAAGGGCAGUAAGUUAAUACCUUGCUGUUUUGACGUUACCAACAGAAUAAGCACCGGCUAACUUCGUG